rnacentral:sRNA from 1 species
ACUUACCCCAGAUGGAAGCGGCAUCCUUUUUUUGUCUCUUUUUUCUAAGAGACAAAAAAAGAUAUAGCGGACAGCUGGAAUAGGU